rnacentral:rRNA from 1 species
UACAGAGGUCCCAAGCGUUGUUCGGAUUCACUGGGCGUAAAGGGUGCGUAGGUGGCGGGGCAAGUUUGAUGUGAAAUCUCCGAGCUCAACUCGGAAACGGCAUUAAAUACUGCCUUGCUUGAAGGUCGGAGGGGAGACUGGAAUUCUCGGUGUAGCGGUGAAAUGCGUAGAUAUCGAGAGGAACACCGGUGGCGAAAGCGAGUCUCUGGACGAUUCUUGACACUGAGGCACGAAAGCUAGGGGAGCAAACAGG